rnacentral:rRNA from 1 species
GUCUAUGACCACACCACAUUGAGUACACCAGGUCUCGUCUGAUCCCUGAAGUUAAUCAACGUUGGGCCGAGUCAGUACCUGGCACGUAGACCAUCUGGGAACACUCGGUGUCGUAGACA